AUGGGAGUGUCUAGUUGCAGGAAACAAGCUCAGGGCUUCCACUGAUUCUACAUUAUGGCACUCAGGAAAUAUUAGUUGCAUGAAUGAAGGCUGCAUUUUCAUUAGAACAACAUGCAGUUCAACCCCUUCAUGUUUCAAUGAGGGUUCAGAUACCCAGAGGGCUAUGUGAUCAUCCUGGAGCCCACUCUGCUAACAAUUAGCAGAACGGAAGCCUUAAUUUCCAGAAUCUAGUGAACUUGAUGAGUCAAGACCAUUGCAAUUGGAAAUCUGUUCUCCUCUGCUGCUGCAUCCCCCGCUUAAUACUCAAGCCAGAAACCAGGAAGGCUGUGGCUUGCCUUUUCACUUCUUGUGUCCUGUUUAAGAAAUAUCUGCUAUCCCAAGCAUCUGGCAUCUUUCUUGACAUACGUAGCAGUUGCUUUUUGACAGCUUGCUUCUGGAGUGAAUGAAUAAAUUAAUAAAUUUAUUCAUUUGAUAUUCAGUGACAUGUGAUAUUCAGUGAUCCAUUUUGCAGGAUAAACCAGUAUUCUGGACUAAGCCAACCUGGGAGACCCUAGGAAGCCUGUUUGAGAAAGUGACAUUUAAAUUGAGACUUGGCUGUGGCUGUGGCUACAUAUCUAAUUGCAAACUCCUAGAGAAGGGCUCAACAGUGAGUGUUGAGGCUGCACAGAGGAGGAAGGUAGCACAAUGAUGGAAGGCUUCCUAAAGAGGACAGCAGAUAGAGCAUGAAUGAGACCCCCAAAGAAGGGAAGCAAAUGAGGCAAGCCCCACAAUUAUUCUGGCUUUUUACCUAGAGACAAUCUAUGAACUGUGGGGCAAACAACAAAGAUCAAAACAGCUUGGCAAUCUGAAUUGAGGAUGAAGACACCAUUAGGGGCAGAAGUACAGGUAGCUCAAAUUUGUGGAGCAAAGUACCAGAGAAGAUAAACUGCUCCAAAUUCCAUGAGGCUGGGCAAGGAAAAACUUUGUGGAAAGAAGAAUUAUCAGGGAGCCCUAAGCUGAAAAAUUGCCAGGGCUCAUACAGACCUGGGGAAUUGGUUGAGUUUAUGCCACCUAUAGGAUAGAGAACUUGCUGAAUGUUCAAGGAUUUUGUUACAGAUGCCAGAAAGAUGACACUUAAAGGGAUGCAAAACUAACAUCUCUGGAUUAGUCUUAAUAGAGUUUAAAAAUAAGCUUAGAAAAA
rnacentral:lncRNA from 1 species